rnacentral:piRNA from 1 species
UGGAGCUCAUACAAAACUAGAACCACUUG